GUUCUCUAUGUGGUGGGAGCUACAACCUCAGUCACCUGAAGGCUCAAGUGGCUUGAAAUGUCCAAGAUGGCUCACUGGAGGUUCAACUGAUUUGGAAUGUGUACGAUGGUGGCAGUUGGUCCUUGCUAUAGGCUGGGAUUUUACGUGGGGCUGUCAUUUAGAGCCCUUUUGUACUCCCUCAUGUAGCCUCUCCAAGUGGCUCUCUUAGAGUUACUUCAAAGUAUCGUAGUUUCAGGACAAUCAUACCUCUUCUUUGGGGGCUGGAUCCUAGGAGUGCAAAAUUAGAAGCUAUCAGGUCUUUUUAAGGCUUAGGACAGGAAGUAGCACAAAAUUACUUCACAGCAUUCUACAUUCAAACAAGUCACAGGGCAGGGUCAGAUUCAAGAGGAGGGGACUAAAUGAGGGGAACACCAGAGGGAGUUGUUCAUUAGUAUCAUCAAUAUUAUGUGGAUGAGAAGCCCAGGUACAAUUGGGCUGAGUCUUUUGAUUCAAUGUCUCUCAUGGGCUAUGAUGAAGUUCCCAGCCUGGGGUGUGGUCUCAUCUGAAUGUUCAAGUGGAAAAGGAUCUGCUUCCAAGCUCACUCACGUUAUUGGCAGAAUUCAUUUUUUCAAGAGUUUUUUCCUUGUUGGUUGUGAGUUGGAGCCACCCUCAGUUCCUUGCCAUGUGGCACUUAUUUUCCAUAGUGUAGCUCUCAACAUAACAGAAUAUGUCAUCAAAAUUAGCAAGGAAGAGGAAGUCCUAGUAAGACACAGGAUGUAAUCUUAUGUAAUGUAGUCACAGAGUGAUACCCCAUCACCUUUGCAUAGUCUGUUGGUUAGAAGCAGGCCACAGUUCCUGUCCACAUUCAAGGAGAUUGUACAAGGGGUGAAUAUCAAAGGAGGGAAUAAUUGGGAACUGUUUUAGAGUCUGUCUGCCACACCAGCCUCCUCAUUGAGAGACAAUUAAACUGUUUACAUCAUACAUUUCAGACCUGACCAUAUGACUUAUUUCAGCCAAUGGAUUGUGGGGGAAGUGAUAUGUGCUGCUUUUAAGAAGAUUUAAGAAUUGCCAUCUGAUCUGCCACCUUCUCUUUUAUUCUCUCCCCAAGCAAGUUCUUAGAUAUUCAUCAGCCUAAAUUUUUGAGCUGACCUACUCUAGGUAUGUAAAAGAGGUAAUAAAUUAAGUCUAUUGACUGUCACUGAGAUUAUAGGAAGGUUUUUAACUGCAGUAUAAUUUAUCUAAAGUUGACUGGCCCUGCUAAACUGAGAGAUACAAGAAGCAUCUUGGGGCUAGCAACAUUGGAGAGCAAUGACAGCCCUAGACCAGGAGGGACCUGGGAAGUUAGAUCUUGCAAAGAGGGAUGUAAGGAAUGAACACACCAGCCUCACUUUCCGUCUGGCACUACUGCUGCCCAUUGGCAGGGAGGAGAAGAAGGCUAAAAAAAAGACCUUAGAAAAUGCUAACCUUUCAGGGGCAGAAGAAGAAAGAAAGAAGAAUUUAUGGGGGAGUUGAGAAGAAAUAACAGGAAAAGAAAAACAAAACAGUAGAGACAUGGAAUGGAAUGAUAAUAAAAUGAAGAAGUGGCCACACUGAGAGAUUCUUCUUAGGGUUGCACUAAUUUAGGGUUUGUGUCUGUCAAAUUUAGAAAACAGAAUUUCAUAUGUGCUUUAGAAAGAGAGACAUCUGUGAAACUGGCACAGAACAGAGCACAGGAAUAUAAUGGUAUGACUAGUGAAUAUGAAGUAAAGCUGCAGAAAAA
rnacentral:lncRNA from 1 species